AUCUUCUGAACUGCUCCUUGAGGAGGUGAUGGAGCUUUAGUGGGGUUUGAGUGUUUGAGCGCACGGAGCUGCAUGCAGAACCCGUGCCUCCAGUUCUGCAACCUUCGAACCUUCGGCCAGCCUAAUAACUCAGCAACUGCUGCUUUCGGGGCAGUGUGAAGCCUUCAUUGCAGAGGAUUUAUGUUUCCUUUUGAUAUUAUACAACAUUUCCCUCCCAGAUUUCACUGAAGUUUUGCCCUUUCUGAAUUGUAAAUGCAAAAGAAAAAAAAAAUUACUGUUCAGAAUGUUCUCCCUUGAAAAGAUGUUUGCUUUUCACAGCUCAAACAGAAAACAGCUCAGUGCAUCCAAAAGCUGCCUCACCCUUUGAGCGUGUUCCCAGAUCUCAGCCAAGAGCACUACUAUGGAAUAGCUCGGGGCAGGAAGCAAAACAUUCUAACAAAACCUCCUUCUAAAGAAAUAACCGAGGCUCGGAGCCCUGCAGCCGUGCGGCCGCACACGAGAAGGAGAGUGGGGCGCUUUGCACGACCGCGUGCUGUCAUCGCGUCCCCGCGUGCUAACUGCGUGUUGACAUGCACUGCGUCAUCUGACAUAAUUACUGCAAUUACCUUAAUACUUCAUAAGCAUCGGGGCACUACCUGCGAUUUACAAAACAAUAACAACAACAGCCAAAAAAAAGAAAACCCCAUGUGAAAAGCUGAGCCCACAAAUGGAAGGGGGUGCGGUGCUGAGGAUGCCCUCCUGUUCCAGCAGCAGGCAGGGAGCGCUCCGAGCUGCACCAUCCCUCUGCGUGCUAUAAAAGGCACUGAGGAGGGUAACACCAAACUGUGAGCCCGCUGUAUGUGUUUAAUGCUCAUCCGUGAACUCUCACCAGCAAAAGCCCCACAGUGCCCUGCCCUGAGCAGUGACAGACACUUGAAAGAACAACGGGACACUGAGAAACGCAGUGAUCUGGAAGUGCGUUAACCCCUCUUCUAUCUGCGGGUGUGUAAUACCAACCUCGCUCCCCUUGGAAAGAACACUCAGGGCCUCAGUGCUGUCUGUGUGCUGGGGGAUCUCCUGCACACUUCCCCACAUUCAGU
ensembl:lncRNA